GCCCGCCUAGCUCAAUCGGAUAGAGCGUCAGACUCUUAUCCGGUGGUCACCAGAUGAUAUAUUGCACAAUCUGAAGGCUGCGAGUUCGACCCUCGCGGUGGGCU